CUGACGUGAUGACUUUCUAUUACCGCCCCAGUCUGAGAAUUCAUGACUGAUUGGUUUAUGCUGAUCAA